UGAAGGUUUUUCAAGGAAUAAUGAUCCAAUUAUCUCUGCAUUAUCUUUGCCUCUAAACAAGGUUGUUUAGCUGGACAACACCUUCUCUCUUAAGCUACUGAGCCCAGGAUAAGCUUGAGGAAAACAAGCGCCUGCAGAAGGUGACGAAGAAGCACCAACAUAGCAUCCUUGCAUGAGCUAGCAUGG